rnacentral:rRNA from 1 species
AACAAACGCUGGCGGCGUGCCUAAUACAUGCAAGUCGAACGGGGAAAGCUUUCGGGUGAGUACUAGUGGCGCACGGGUGAGUAACGCGUGGAUAAUCUGCCUUAGAGUGGGGGAUAACUAGUCGAAAGAUUAGCUAAUACCGCAUAAGACCACAAGAACUGCGGUUCAAGGGGUCAAAGGUUUUUCGCUCUAAGAUGAGUCCGCGUAAGAUUAGCUAGUUGGUAGAGUAACGGCCUACCAAGGCGACGAUCUUUAACUGGUCUGAGAGGAUGAUCAGUCACACUGGAACUGAGACACGGUCCAGACUCCUACGGGAGGCAGCAGUAGGGAAUAUUGCACAAUGGAGGAAACCCUGAUGCAGCGACGCCGCGUGAGUGAUGAAGGCCUUCGGGUCGUAAAGCUCUGUCGCAGGGGAAUAACACAAUGAAGGUACCCUGUAAGAAAGGAUCGGCUAACUUCGUGCCAGCAGCCGCGGUAACAC